rnacentral:rRNA from 1 species
GUUGUAUGGUUAAGUGACUAAGCGUACAUGGUGGAUGCCUUGGCAGUCAGAGGCGAUGAAGGACGUACUAACCUGCGAUAAGCUGUGAGAAGUCGGUAAGAGACGCUAUUACUCACAGAUUUCCGAAUGGGGAAACCCACCCAAGAUAACUUGGGUAUCGUUGCAUGAAUACAUAGUGCAACGAGGCGAACCGGGAGAACUGAAACAUCUAAGUACCCCGAGGAAAAGAAAUCAACCGAGAUUCCCUCAGUAGCGGCGAGCGAACG